rnacentral:rRNA from 1 species
AGAGUUUGAUCAUGGCUCAGGACGAACGCUGGCGGCGUGCCUAACACAUGCAAGUCGAACGGGACUGGGGGCAACUCCAGUUCAGUGGCGGACGGGUGCGUAACACGUGAGGAACAUGACUUUCGGCGGGGGAUAGCCGGCCCAACGGCCGGGUAAUACCGCGUACGACCUCUCGGGGACAUCCCCGGUUGGUGAAAGCAGCAAUGCACCGAAAGAGUGCCUCGCGGCCUAUCAGCUAGUUGGUGGGGUAAUGGCUCACCAAGGCGACGACGGGUAGCUGGUCUGAGAGGAUGGCCAGCCACAUUGGGACUGAGACACGGCCCAGACUCCUACGGGAGGCAGCAGUGGGGAAUAUUGCGCAAUGGGCGAAAGCCUGACGCAGCGACGCCGCGUGUGGGAUGACGGCCUUCGGGUUGUAAACCACUGUCGGGAGGGACGAAUGCGCCGCAAGGCGAGUGACGGUACCUCCAAAGGAAGCACCGGCUAACUCCGUGCCAGCAGCCGCGGUA